CUUGUUCAAACCCCACAUACCUCAAAUUUGUGAGUUUAGUUGAACUUUUGAUUCCGGAACUCUAUUUGUAAAAUUGAUGGGUGCUCCUUGUAGCUCUUGCAAUGGGGAUUCCAAAUCUUAAAUUAUUUUCAAAUUCCUACGAUUGAAUUUUUAGGGAUCUUGAUUUUUGUUUUGGGGCUAAGGGAAGUUGCUCUUGAGGAUUUGGAGAAUAAGGAUCAUAUUUUGGUCUAAAUGUCCAUUAAUUCCGUGUUUAUGGAUAUAUCUAGGAGUGGUAAAAGACUAAAAUACCCCUAAGAAAACAAAUAAUGUCACAGCUGUCCCACAGUUGACCGGUUUGAUAUGCUGGAGUAAAUUAGGCAUAACUCUUUACUCAGGUGUUGUGGAUGAAACCAGUUGCAUUGGAAAUAAGACUCAAAGAGAUUUCAUUUGAUAUAUAGCAUCUCUCCCAGUUCAUUAUAUACAGGAAGUUAUGAUCGUUUGAAGUUGAUCCUAAAAUUGGGGCUGAAAUGCGCCCGGAAUGCGGCAGCAUUUCAAACCAGUGAGCUAUGCCACUGAAAUGCGCCCAAAAUGCUCCCGGAAUGCAUCCAAGACAUACAAUUGAAUUUCCCCAUCAUCACGCAACUUGAAAAUCUACAAAGGAUGCCGGGAAGGCCCUAAAAUAAUUCCCCAAAGUUUGGAAGUUUAUGGAAAUGAAAAAGUAAUUUCAAUACUUAGCCAAAUUUUUAAGUGCUAAGCUUCUCUUGGCUAGCUUAAACGAGUCUUUACGACUAGGAACAUUUGCGGGGUAUUACAUUAUCUCCUCCUUGGGAAUAUUCGUCCUCGAAUGUCGCUUGCUAAGCUAAGAACAUAGAUAAAACUGAGGUACAUGUCUGAAAUAAUUUGCUAAACUGAUUCUACUUCACUUUAAACUUUGAGUACUUCAAAGAAUACAUGAACUAGUGAUAAGAAUGGCUAUGUAGCUGAAUCAUGGAUAAGAAAGGGCCUAAUUAAGAAAGAAUAGUACCUUUUGAUUGCUAUGAAUUAGCGGAGAAGAGAUGCGGGUACUUGGCUCGCAUGUCUGCUUCUGCUUCCCAAGUAGCGCCCUCAACUGAUUGAUUUCGCCACAAAACUUUGACUAAGGAAACUUCUUUGUUCCUUAGUCUACGAUUCUGGCGAUCAAGAAUCUCAACUGGUAUCUCUUCAUAUGAAAGACUGUCAUGGACAUCUGGGUUCUCUGAAGGAUCUACGACAACAGAAUCACCAAUACACUUUCUAAGCAUAGAUACAUGGAAUACCGGAUGAACAGCUGACAAUUCUGUGGGCAACUCAAUCUCAUAUGCUACUCUUCCAACACGGAUCAAAACUCUAUAAGGACCAACAUACGGGGGACUAAGCUUCCUUUUUUUCCCAAACCUCUUCACCCCUUUCAUGGGUGAAAUUUUCAGAUACACCAAAUCACUAACUUCAAACUCAAGGUCUCUUCUUCUCAUAUUUGCAUAAGACUUCUGACAACUCUGAGCUGUCUUCAACCUAUCUCUAAUCAACCUAACCUUCUCGAUAGCUUCAAAUACCGCAUCAAGUCCAACCAAAGCAGCUUCACCCACUUCGAACCAACCUAUUAGUGAUCUACACUUCCUCCCACACAAAGCCUCAAAUAGUGCCAUCUGUAUGCCAGCAUGGUAACUAUUGUUAUAAGUAAACUCUAUUAAGGGUAAAUGUUCAUCCCAACUACCUUUGAAAUCAAGAGUGCACGCCUUUAAUAUGUCCUCCAAGGUCUGAAUAGUCCUUUCAACCUGACCAUCAGUCUGUGGAUGAAAAUCAGAACUCAAAUGAACUUGGGUACCAAGACCCUUCUGAAAAGCUCUCUAGAAUUGUGAAGUGAAUUGAGUACCCCUAGCUGAGAUGAUAGACAAGAGAACUCCAUGGAACCUUAAUAACUCACGAAUAUACAAUCUAGCAUAAUGUUCAGCUGUAUAAGAUGUAGGGGUGGGCAUAAAUACCGAAAACCAAAAAACCAAACCGAACCGAAUUAAUUCAGUUUUUUGGUAUUUUGGUUUGGUGUUCGGUAUUUUUUUCAUCAAUUUGGUAUUCGGUUCGGGUUUCGGUUAUUGAAUAUAUAUAAUUCGGUAUUUGGUUUAAACUAAAUUAUUAUACAAGCCCAAUUAAUCUUUAGGCCCAAUUGGCCCAAUUUGCCACCCCAAUUUAAUAAUGUACAAUGUACACCAGCCCAAUUAGUAGUACUCUCUCUAGUCUCUAGGUCACAAGACACAACAUCACUUAGCAGUUAGCAUUAGCCGACUAGCAGUAGCAGUUAGCAAUUAGUUUCUUUAGCAAUUAGUGAGCAGCGACUAACAGCGAACCCACCGGAGCGAUGAACGGCGGAUAGUCAGCGUCUCAGCGGCGAUCAGAUAUCAUUUUCUUUUCUAUUUUUUUUAUUUUUCUUCUUCUUCUUUUUGUUUUUUCUAUUGACUGAUUCAGUGAUUUGUAAAAUAAGGUCGACUGUUAAUAGACACGUAGUAAACCUACUUUCACUUUUGAUUUUUAAUAAAAUGCAAAAUCUUCUAUCAUGAUCGAUAAUUUGAUGUUCAUAUAUUUCCCUUUUUAUUUUGCACUAUUAAACUAUUUUGUGUUUGAUUUUGGCCUUUUGGGACAUAUAUUGUAGAUUCCAUCCAAGUUCUACUUUUUGGUUUAUCUGAGCUUGCUUCUUCUUCCAUCAAAUAUUUCAGAUCUUGAAUCAAAAAACCAAAAUUAUUACACCGAGCCAAAUCGAACUGAACUUACAUAAACCGAAUUGAACCGAAUUAGUUCGGUUUGGUUUUCGGUAUACUAAAUUGAGAACCAAAAACCAAAAAAAAACAAAAAAAAAAAUGAAACCAAACCGAAUUCCCGAAUACCCACCCCUAAUAAGAUGUAUGCACAGGCAGGAAAUGUGUUGACUUAGUCAACCUGUCUACAACAACCCAAAUAGAAUUAUGAUAACGACGCGAAGGAGGUAAACCAGUCACAAAAUCCAUAUUCACCUCUUCCCACUUCCAAGUAGGAAUGCUAAACUCUUGCAUCUUACCACCAGGUCUUUGGUGCAUCUUACCACCAGGUCUUUGGUGCUCUACCUUAACCUGUUGGCACGUUCCACACUUGCCACAAAUCCUGCUAUAUCCUUUUUCAUGCCAUUUCACCAAUAGAUUUCUCGCAAAUCGCGGUACAUUUUGGUAGCACCGGGAUGAAUAGAGUAUCGUGCUCUAUGCGCUUCAACCAUAAUUCUCUGCCUCAGAUCAUUAACAUCAGGAACACAUAGUCUACCCUACAAUCUUAACACACCAUCUCCCCCUUGGGAGAAAAUCUCUACUUUUUGGUCCUCGACUGACUCCUUCAGUCUGACCAAACUAGCAUCUAAGUCUUGCUUCUUCUUCACUUCCAAAACUAAAGAGGAUUCGAAACUACUCGGCACUAACAUACUUCCGUCAUCGAAAUCAAGUAAUCUAACACCCAAUCUAGCCAAACGUUGCACAUCACGAGCUAAUUCUUUCUUAUCAUUCUCUACAUGAGCUACACUACCCAUAGACAACCUGCUAUGAGCAUCUGCCACCACAUUAGCCUUACCUAGGUGAUACAACACACUCAUAUCAUAGUCUUUCAGGAACUCUAGCCAUCUCCUCUGCCUAAGAUUCAACUCUCUCUGAGUAAACAUGUAACACCCCAAAAAUGGGUCCCAAGACGUCACAUGAUGCUUAAGGAUACAAGUAGUCCCAAACUAACCAUUUUUGCCUUUUACUAUCUCUAAUACUUACUUUAGGAUAUCAGUUCACGUAUAGUACUAUAAUAUAUCAAGUUCAAACUGAAUUACUGAGAUACAUAGUUGAGUAUCAAAUACUGAAACAUCCAAACACAGCUAACAACCUUGUCUGACAAAGCCUGUACUACUCAAGAACUAGAGAGUCAUUGGGACAGGUCCCCAAUUGACUCAUACUCAAAUGAAAAAUAGAUAAAUACAACUGCUGAUAAUAUUGAAUAGCUGGAAAUUAGGUCCUCGAACCAUGAGGACUCACCACUACAGGAAUAUAGAUAAAGGCGCUCUGAAUCACUGAUGCUGCUGGGACUGAGCACCUGAACCUACAUUAUGAGAAAAUGUAGCACAUAGAGGUAUAUAUGGGUCAGCACUUUGGGAAUGUACUGAGUAUGUGGGGGUGUAUGCAUUUAAUAAACAAUAUCAUUAAUCUUUAUAGAAAUCAUGUAUGCUGACGAUAAUGACUCACAAAGCUUGAAUAAAAAUCUGAAAUAUAGGCAUCAUAAAUCAUGAAUAAUAAACAUAUAUCAUAAAUCUUGUGAGUCAUUAUACUUAACUUGAAAUAUGAAUUUCUCCUUUUAUUCUCAAAACUCGUAAACUAAAGGAAUCUUUAAAACAAUACUUUGGAACUUUGGGACUGUGGGAGUUUCUUUUAACCGACAUAAACCAUGUGAGCUAUCAUGGAGUCCAAUGUCUCACCCACGUUGGGGAGACCUGUUCUACCGUUGCCAUCGAAAUAGAACCUAAACUUUAGUGAUCACUAUCUCAGCCUUAGGCCUAUAAAUCUCAAUCCUACGUGGCGCGUAGUUCUGGGGAAGUAGGAUGAUCUAAAUCCACACUUUCCGCUCGGUGCUAAAUACUACUUCCGUACUCAAGCUUAGAACUCUUUUAGGAAAUCCACCUUAAAAUAACUCAAGGGUCUAUAAUGAAGACCAAAUCAUAUUCUCUUAAUUUAAAUUAUACAAAAUUGUGGAUUCCUAUUUUAACUCAAAAUUCAUGAUAUAAACCUCAAUUCAAAUCUCGGUAAAUAAUUUAUUCAAGGAAGCCUCAAGAUAAUAACGUUAUCAAAAUUCAACUUCAAUCUUGAUAUAAAAAUAAUAAUUCAAUCUUCCAAGAAUAUAACCUCAUAAUUCAAUACUUGUCUCAUAUCAACUCAGAAUAAUAAUUCAUACUCAAUAUCAUUCUUGAAGUUUAUUCGACAAUAUUAAUUCGUAAAGAACAUGUACAAAUCACUAUAUAACCUUUUAGAUCAAGGCAUAAUAAUUAGAAAUAUCACAAAAUCCACAACUUGAAUAUCUCACAAAUUUAGAAUCUUCAACAAGAAUGUUUAGACAUAAUUUCACUUACAAAUCAUCAAUACUUUAAAUGCAAUUUGCUAGAGGAAAACUUAAAAUUAUAACAUUCUCAAAAUCAAACUCAUUCUUGAUAUAGAUGUAAUAAUUCAAAAUUUUCAAGAACAUGGUCUUAAAAUCUCAAUACACUUCUUGGAACUCUUAAGGAAAUAUCAACAACUCAUUCUUGGACUUAAAGCAUGUAGGCAUAUUCAAGUAAUAUUAACCUUCAAGAUAGUAGAAAUUCAAGACUUCAACUUUAAAACCAUUCGAAACUUCAAUCAUGGUAGUAAUACACAAUUCAUUCAUAAAUUCUCAAUUCACAGCAUAAAAUUGAUGAAAUAUCAUAUAAUUCAAGACUUGAUCAACUCAUAAUCUCUUGAACUUGAAACAUAUCAACCAAGCAUAAUACAACUUAAAAAUACAAUAUUCUUCAAGAAAAACUAAUAUUUUGGGCACAAGAACGAAAGGAUUGUUCUUGUUCAAACCCCACAUACCUCAAAUUUGUGAGUAUGAAUGAACUUUUGAUUCCAGAACUCUAUUUGUAAAAUUGAUGGAUGCUCCUUGUAGCUCUCGCAAUGGGGAUUCCGAAUCUUAAAUUAUUUUUGAAUUCCUACAGUUGAAUUUUUAGGGAUCUUGAUUUUUGUUUUGGGGCUAAGGGAAGUUGUUCUUGAGAAUUUGGAGAAUAAGAACCAUAUUUUGGUCUAAAUGGCCAUUAAUUCCGUGUUUAUGGAUAUAUAUAGGGGUGGGGAAAGACUAAAAUACCCCUAAGAAAACAAACAAAGUCACAGUUGUCCCACAGUUGACAGGUUUGAUAUGAUGGCAUAAAUUGGCUAUAUCGUUUUACUCAGAUGUUCACAUUGGAUGAAACUAAUUGCAUUGGAAAGAAGACUCAAAGAGCUUUCAUUUGAUAUAUAGCAGCUUUCCCAGUUUAUUACAUACAAGAAGUUAUGAUCGUUACAAGUUGAAACUGAAAUGCUGAAAACUGGGCACCUCACCAGCGCCUUUUGCCACUAGUUUGGCAUACCAAACGUGCCCUUAUGCUACUCCAAAAAUUCCAAAUCUCACCCGGGAUAUACUAAGACCUUUAUCCAUCGCAACGCAACUUGAAAAUUGAAAAACGGAUGUCGGGAGAGCCCUAAAAUAAUUCCCCAAAGUUCGAAAGUUUAUGAAAAUAAAAAAGUUUCAACACAUCCAAAAUUUUAAGUGCUAAGCUUCUCUUGGCUAGCUUAAACGAGCCUUUACGACUAGAAAAAUUUGCGGGGUAUUACAAAACACAUACUGAAAGCUUUUUUGAUCAGUAAACACAUCAACAUGAACACCAUACAAAUAAUGUCUCCAGAUUUUCAAGGCAAAAACCAC
rnacentral:lncRNA from 1 species